rnacentral:rRNA from 1 species
AGAGUUUGAUCCUGGCUCAGAACGAACGCUGACGGCGUGGCUAAGACAUGCAAGUCGUACGGACUAUUCGAUUGAGUAAUCGAGAGGAUAGUUAGUGGCGAAAGGGUGAGUAAUGCAUAGGUAACGUACCCCUAGCUUCGGGAUAGCUGCGUUCCGCAAGGAACUUUAGCGAAAGUGCAGGUAACACCGGAUGAAAUCUUCGAGCCGCAUGGUUUGAAGAUCAAAAGGCUUAGGUACUGGCAAGGGAGCGGCCUGUGUCGUAUCAGCUAGUUGGUGAGGUAACGGCCCACCAAGGCGACGACGCGUAGCGGGACUGAGAGGUUGACCCGCCACAUUGGGACUGAGACACUGCCCAGACCCCCACGUGGGGCUGCAGUAACGAAUAUUGCGCAAUGGACGAAAGUCUGACGCAGCGACGCCGUGUGUAGGAUGAAGUCCUUCGGGAUGUAAACUACUGUCAGGGUGAAGAAAGGUGAGGGCUGUAAUGCCUGAACUUGAUCGAUCCCAGAGGAAGGCCCGGCUAACUUCGUGCCAGCAGCCGCGGUAAGACGAAGGGGCCAAGCGUUGUUCGGAAUUAUUGGGCUUAAAGCGCAUGCAGGCGGGAAGUUAAGUGUUCUGUGAAAUCCCUCGGCUUAACCGAGGACUAGCGGGGCAAACUGGCUUUCUUGAGGCAAGUAGGGGUGUACGGAACUCUAGGUGGAGCGGUGAAAUGCGUAGAUAUCUAGAGGAACGCCAGCGGAGAAAUCGGUACACUGGGCUUGUUCUGACGCUGAGGUGCGAAAGCGUGGGUAGCGAACGGGAUUAGAUACCCCGGUAGUCCACGCCGUAAACGAUGUCUACUAGGUCGUGGAGGUUCUGACGCCGUCACGGCCGAAGCAAAAGUGGUAAGUAGACCGCCUGGGGAGUACGGUCGCAAGGCUAAAACUCAAAGGAAUUGACGG